GAUGAACGCUAGCGGGAGGCCUAACACAUGCAAGCCGAGCGGUAUUGUUUCUUCGGAAAUGAGAGAGCGGCGUACGGGUGCGUAACACGUGUGCAACCUGCCUUUAUCUGGGGGAUAGCCUUUCGAAAGGAAGAUUAAUACUCCAUAAUAUAUUGAACGGCAUCGUUUAAUAUUGAAAGCUCCGGCGGAUAGAGAUGGGCACGCGCAAGAUUAGCUAGUUGGUGAGGUAACGGCUCACCAAGGCGAUGAUCUUUAGGGGGCCUGAGAGGGUGAUCCCCCGCACUGGUACUGAGACACGGACCAGACUCCUACGGGAGGCAGCAGUGAGGAAUAUUGGUCAAUGGGUGCAAGCCUGAACCAGCCAUCCCGCGUGAAGGACGACUGCCCUAUGGGUUGUAAACUUCUUUUGUAUAGGGAUAAACCUACCCUCGAGAGGGUAGCUGAAGGUACUAUACGAAUAAGCACCGGCUAACUCCGUGCCAGCAGCCGCAGUAAUAC
rnacentral:rRNA from 1 species